rnacentral:rRNA from 1 species
GGUUCAGAACGUCGUGAGACAGUUCGGUCCCUAUCUGUCGUGGGCGUAGGAAAUUUGAGAGGAGCUGUCCUUAGUACGAGAGGACCGGGAUGGACGUACCUCUGGUGUACCAGUUGUUCCGCCAGGAGCACCGCUGGGUAGCUAUGUACGGAAGGGAUAAGCGCUGAAAGCAUCUAAGCGUGAAGCCCCCCUCAAGAUGAGAUUUCCCAGUACGUAAGACCCCUUGAAGACGACGAGGUAGAUAGGUUGGGGGUGGAAGUGCAGUAAUGCAUGGAGCUGACCAAUACUAAUCGGUCGAGGGCUUAUCCUAAA